rnacentral:rRNA from 1 species
CGGACGGGUGAGUAACGCGUGAGAAUCUACCUUCAGGUUGGGGACAACCACUGGAAACGGUGGCUAAUACCGAAUGUGCCGAGAGGUGAAAGGCUUGCUGCCUGAAGAAGAGCUUGCGUCUGAUUAGCUAGUUGGUAGUGUAAGAGACUACCAAGGCGACGAUCAGUAGCUGGUCUGAGAGGAUGAUCAGCCACACUGGGACUGAGACACGGCCCAGACUCCUACGGGAGGCAGCAGUGGGGAAUUUUCCGCAAUGGGCGAAAGCCUGACGGAGCAAUACCGCGUGAGGGAGGAAGGCUCUUGGGUUGUAAACCUCUUUUCUCAGGGAAGAACAGAAUGACGGUACCUGAGGAAUAAGCAUCGGCUAACUCCGUGCCAGCAGCCGCGGUAAUACGGAGGAUGCAAGCGUUAUCCGGAAUGAUUGGGCGUAAAGGGUCCGCAGGUGGCAUUGUAAGUCUGCUGUUAAAGAGUUUGGCUCAACCAAAUAAGAGCAGUGGAAACUACAAAGCUAGAGUGUGGUCGGGGCAGAGGGAACUCCUGGUGUAGCGGUGAAAUGCGUAGAUAUCAGGAAGAACACCAGUGGCGAAGGCGCUCUGCUAGGCCGAGACUGACACUGAGGGACGAAAGCUAGGGGAGCGAAUGGGAUUAGAUACCCCAGUAGUCC